GGGGGUGUGGCUCAGGGGCAGAGCAUUUGCCUGGUAUGCACAAGGUCAUGGGUACAAAUCCCAGCACCACAG
rnacentral:tRNA from 1 species